GCAUCUGACCGGCCUUGAAGAGGCACUCCCUUCGGGCAGAUGUGUAGGUGCUGCAUGGUUGUCGUCAGCUCGUGCCGUGAGGUGUCGGCUUAAGUGCCAUAACGAGCGCAACCUCAUCAUAGUUACCAUCAGGUAAGGCUGGGGACUCUAAUGAGACUGCCAUCGUAAGAUGUGAGGAAGGUGGGGAUGACGUCAAAUCAGCACGGCCCUUACGUCCGGGGCGACACACGUGUUACAAUGGGUGGUACAAAGGGCAGCUACCUGGCGACAGGAUGCUAAUCUCGAAAACCGCUCUCAGUUCGGAUCGGAGUCUGCAACUCGACUCCGUGAAGCUGGAUUCGCUAGUAAUCGCGCAUCAGCCACGGCGCGGUGAAUACGUUCCCGGGCCUU
rnacentral:rRNA from 1 species